AGCUUAAAAUAGCAAGAAAAUCCAUAGCAACGGGUUCAUGCAGCCCAGCAAUGGACCGCCUCUCGAUCGCUUCGUUGUUCCAGGAAACGAUGGAUAUCAGUUGGGCCAAUCGUACCGUCAGCAGCGAGGAAACCAUCAACAACCGUUUUACACUGAGCAAUCAACAGCUACCAAUUCGGACAACAUCGACUCGUAUGGAAGUAGUAGCAACAGCGCAGAUUGUCGGUGUUAUUCCAUAUACUUUCUGCAGCAAAAACUCCACUAGUUGAUGAACAAUAUGCUAUGGCGAAAGUAUCACAAUUUCAAGCACAUCGUCAUGACAACAUUAAUUCUACAGCAAUAUUUGGCGACGGCACCCAGCGAAAACCGUCAUCACCACUACCACCGACAGCAGUCCACUAAUCCUUCCAUCGAAGGAUCGGAGGGAAAACGAUAUGUGUCCCAUUUGUUACACAAUUUCGUCCACAAAUCACGACUUCACGGAGCUCAACAACAGAAAGUCCGCGUCUGAGGAUAAUGAGGAGAGUCAGUUUGCGUGGUAAAUUUGCUUCAAGGCGCUUCGUUGCUGGAUCGGUACAUGCUGCCUCCGCUCGAAUUUGGAGCGUCACAUCAAGCAGUAACAUCCUUAAUUCUGGUCGUAUUGUCAGCGCGGAGGCAAUCAUUAGAAGCGCGGACGGAUCAUUCGACCGGCAAUCAAGCAAUCCGCCAAAGGAAAACAACUCCGACACAGAGAUCCAAAUCCAUCGUCGACAUGGCAGGAAAAAAAAUCGUAUAAAACCCAGAGAAAACUGCGAUCUCUUCGACAGAUUCCACCGUGAAGAAGUAUUUUUCUGAUAUCGAACUCUAGGGGGGAGGUAUUGGAAAAUCAAUGUGCAGCGGUUCUAAGCUAACAUGUGGCUGAGUGGAGAAUUUCUUAUCGAAUUUAAAGAACAACUACUACCAAUUUUGAUCCACAAUGGUCAAUCCGCAUGUGACUGAACUGGAAGAUUUUUUCACUAUGCACCUUCCAUUGGGAUUUCCAGUAAAUAUAGAAAUAACGCUGUUCCAUGUGUUGAACGCGGUUAUCAUAUUUGGCAACGUAUUUGAAUAAGAAACACCCGUGACCAGUGUGAGCCACAUCAAAGAAAGCGAAGAGCGUACGGCACGCAUUAUCGAGGUUUACUGUUUCGAUGUCCCGUUCGAGUACGUACGACGUGGUGUCGAUUUCCGGCGUCAAAUCAUCUUCGAAGAUGAGAACGAAUUGAUGCAAUUUG